rnacentral:rRNA from 1 species
CCUACGGGAGGCAGCAGUGGGGAAUAUUGCGCAAUGGGCGAAAGCCUGACGCAGCGACGCCGCGUGAGGGAUGAAGGUCCUCGGAUCGUAAACCUCUGUCAGCAGGGAAGCACGGUCACUGUGCUAAUCAGCAGUGAAUUGACGGUACCUGCAAAGGAAGCACCGGCUAACUCCGUGCCAGCAGCCGCGGUCAUACGGAAGGAGCGAGCGUUAAUCGGAAUUACUGGGCGUAAAGCGCUCGUAGGCGGUAUGUCAAGUCAAGGGGGAAAUCCCCGCGCUCAACGUGUGAACUGCCGUUGAAACUGGCGAUCUGGAGUGUGUGAGAGGAUGGUGGAAUUCCUGGUGUAGGAGUGAAAUCCGUAGAUAUCUGGAGGAACAUCAGUUGCGAAGGCGACUAUCUGGCACAUAACUGACGCUGAGGAGCGAAAGCGUGGGUAGCAAACAGGAUUAGAUACCCGUGUAGUC